AGGCAGUGGUCUGGGCGACAAAGCAGAGCAGGAGUCUUUAUGGCAGAGAGCGGCAGAGGAGACAAUAUCAGAACACGGGACCACCUCUUUGGAGAAAACACUCCUGAAGUGUCACUUACCGAUGGUGCCUUGGUAGUCGACCAGGUCGAAGUAGACGACGGCCACGGAGGUCCAGACCCCCAGGAGGGCCAACACCAUGAACCAGAGCGGUGUCCUUUGUUCUACUCGUCCCUAAGCUGAGCAGAACAAAAGCCAAAGUAUAUUACCCCAAGGUCUGGACCCCUCAGAAAAAAAACGGUUUCUCAAGGUCUGGACCCCUCGGUUUCUCUACCAUCACCAAAACAGAUGCCACGGGUCGAAUCAACAUAUAUGUAUACAUCUAUAUAUUCCUUAUUCCGGAUGAAGUUGUUAUGUGACAGAGUCGCUCCAUCUACCUUCGGU